GUAGCCUACGCAAUAGUAGACUAUGUCCCAGACAGCAAACGGACUACGAAACGCAUCCGCCGCGGAGGUACGGUGAACUCCGGAACGGAUCCAGAAAUCGGAUCCGAAACUGUGUC